AGCAGCCGCGGUAAUUCCAGCUCCAAUAGCGUAUAUUAAAGUUGUUGCAGUUAAAAAGCUCGUAGUUGAACUUCGGGGUUUACUCAUUGGUCAGGCUUAAUUGUCUGUACUGGUGAGAUGAAUCUCUACCUUCUGAGGAACUUUCAUGCCAUUUAUUUGGUGUGGUUGGAAAUCAGGACUGUUACUUUGAAAAAUUAGAGUGUUUAAAGCAGGCUAACGUCUGAAUACAUUAGCAUGGAAUAAUGAAUAGGACGGAUUGAUUCUAUUUCGUUGGUUUCUAGGGUCACCGUAAUGAUUAAUAGGGAUAGUUGGGGGCAUUAGUAUUCAAUUGUCAGAGGUGAAAUUCUUGGAUUUAUUGAAGACUAACUACUGCGAAAGCAUUUGCCAAGGAUGUUUUCAUUAAUCAAGAACGAAAGUUAGGGGGAUCGAAG
rnacentral:rRNA from 1 species